rnacentral:lncRNA from 1 species
CCCAGGCAGGGCUGGAGUAGGGCCGGGCCGCUCCGAGGGAGCAGGGAGGCAGCUGGGCCUGCAGCCAGUCCUCCGCAGACCUGCAGAGGGCCCAUCUGCCUGGACCUGGGCGCCUCCCCCGGAAUCUGCCCACAGCUCUGCUUCUUGCACAGCCGGCGGAUGAGUGGUGCGCGGGCAGGUCCGUGCCUGGGCAGAUGCAGGGCAGGACCGGGGCUGAGAGCUGAGGUCGCCGGACUCACUGCGUGCUUGAGAAACCCCAGGAGUAAAGGCUAAGGCCUCGGAGGCCCCAGUGAAAAGGUUAGUUCUAACCCUAUUAGUAGGAGUACACCCCAAAUCCCAGCGGGAAGCCCUCUGGGGGCCGGAUCUUGCAGCCCACUGCUGCUGAGCAGCAUCUGCCUGCGCUCUUGCCCCAUGAACGUCGCCUGGCCUCACGUCCCUCCCGGGUCCCUCACCUCUGCGGGAGGCCUGGACUUUGGGCCCAGCUCCCAACUCCUCUUCUCCCAUUCAGGGUGAGGGACCCGGGGGGAGCAGAUCGUCUCAGGGACCCCUAGGCCCACAGAGGCCACGGGAUGCAACAGCAAGUGUCUCUGUGUACUGAAGCCUGGCCUGGGGCCCAGGCAGGGCCCCGGGAGCCAGGCCGGGGCGGCCAGAGGACGGAUGAGAAAGGAUGAGGACAAACUGGCCCGUGUCCCCCGUGCGGCCCUGGGUUGGGGGACAGCAGCCGGAUCUGCAUGGGAAGCGUGGGGACUGUGGCCUAGAUAAACCAUUCUGUACGAUCUGAUCAGCCUGAAUACUUGUCACAGCUACGGGAAGCUGAUGAUGACCCAGUCUGUCCGAAGGAGCACACUGACAUUCGGAAAUUAAAUAAAUUAUGAGUUUAGAAAGAAAAGACAAAAGAGAAAACUGUCCGAAUUUCAUAACUUACUAAUAGGGGUAUUUCAAACAAAACAGGGAAAGGUGUCAUAAAGUCUUCACCUACUCGGUGCUGUAUCUGUGGCUUCAUUGGUGGCCUUCCUAAUGGAAAAAUAAGAAGCCCAGUGUUUUCACAGAUGGAUAAAGAGUGCUCUGGAUUCUGGAUUCUGCCUAUGGCAUAAUUGGUUGGUCACUUUAGAAAAUGACUCUGAGAAAAUGAAGAACUAAUGUUUUUGGAAGACUGAAAUGAGCUCAGACAAGAGACAGAAAUGCUUUUUAAAGUUAAUUAUGUUUGCUUUUUACUCUCCCUUGGUGUUCAUUACCUUGGAAUGGAGCCGCACAGGGCAGAAAUAAUUACCAGGUUUUCAGUGCAGGUGGCUGCCUUUUUGCAGGGAGGGGAGGCACCCAAAGCUGUAUCUGUUUCAUACUUUGUACCAUUGGAAAUUAAAAGUUCAGUUUUAAUGAGGCAAGCAGGUACCAGGUAUAAUCCUAAAAUGUGCUCAGGCAUUAUAAUCCACUUAGCAUGACACCUGAGGCUAAAUCAGUGAGAAAAGAAUGCCAUAUGCAUUACUGUCAGAAGCCAUUCGUCUUGCCUGGCUAUGGACUGUAACUUCUCUUGAAAUCAAUAUGCAGGUUCAUGUCCUGCAAAUUUGUACAUGUUCAGAAUCUGCUUGGUUGUGAACUAAUCUGUCUUCUGCUUGGGAAUCUAGGGAAGGAGUAGAGGUUUUGUGUUACUGGGAAGCAAAUCAAAUGUUAGGCUAAGGAAAAUAACAGUUAGCAAAGAAAGACAUACUGGUGAAUGAACAGCAUGCUAAUGGAUGUCCCUGGGGCUGGGUUCUGUUCAAGGCGCGGCUAUUAAACGCGGUUACCAGUGAAUCCCAGGUCGCAGACCCACUGACAUCCACCGGGAGGCUCGGCCUGUUACAGAGCUAGAGUCUGUGCACGCCCUACCGAGGUCCUGAGUCAUGCAGAAGAUGUCGAAUCACCCUGCUACAGACAGGCAGGUCUGCCCACACCCUGUCUAGGUCCCCAGUAACGUGGAACACACACCGAAUCAGCCCGCUGCAGACAGGAAGGUCUGUGCAUGCCCUACCGAGAUCCUGAGUCACGCGGAAGACAUUGAAUCAUCCCACUGCAGACAGGCAGCCACCUGAUUCCACAUUACCAAGGUGCAGAGGACACCAGACCACCAGACCAAGCAGAUUCUGCAAACUCCAGCGUCCCUGAGAGAGCGAGGGGAGGUCACCAGAGUGAGGCCUGGGGGCCUGCAGGGCCCCACUGAAGGAGUUGGUGCAGCCAGGCCCAGGGUCCCAGCAGCUGCCCGAGAACUGUUACAUCUACUGCAUGAAGCUGGCCAGUACCGAGUUAUGCCGAGUUACCAGGCUGGAUUCAAACUCUGGUGUCCUCCUGCCCUGGCCUCCUGAGUACCUGGGACCACAGGUGUUUACCACCUGCUACAGUGUAGAUUAAGAAUGACCCCAACUCUCCUGUGGUCACACAUGGGCCUUUCGGAAGGCCCUUCUGCCAUGCCCUUCUGUGUGGGAGCUUGUCAACCAAACUGCAAAUGUGAGCCAAAAUAAACCUCUCCUCCUUUAAGUUAAGCAAGGUGCCAUGUUGUGAACCACCAGAUGGAGACAGUCAUACAGAAAGGAGCCUAGGGUGACCUUCAGCCAACAACCGGGCAAGAAUUCAGUCCCUCAGCUUGGCAGCAUGUAAGGAAUUGAAAGCUGCCAACAGCCUGAGGAAGCUCUUACCUCAAAUGUUCUCACAGUCCCAGUCAAUAUUUCAAUCCAGAAAUGAGCAGAAGAAAAGCAGAUGGAAGAAAAACAGGAGUGAAAGAAGAAGAAAGAAUGAUAUGGUGAAAAAUAGAAAAAAGGUCUACCCACUGUCUGGGAAGCCCUGUGCUCUGCUCUGCUGGUUGUCUUCAUUAUUGUGUACCCCGUCUUGAAAAUCAAAUGCAUAAAUUUGGGGAAGAGGUCUUUUCUGAAAGAUUGGCUAGAUGAAAUUGACAAUUUUUAUUGAUUAUCCUGGUAUCAAUAAGAGGUUGAUACAAAAUUGUCAAGAUGAUCCAGGUAAGAAUAAAAAGAUAGGCAAUAAAGCAGUUAUAUUUUAGUUUAAUAUUGUAUUCUAAAGAAAUCAAAAUAACAAGUGAUUGUGAAAUAAUUUUCUAUAUGCUUAUUACUCAAAUUAAGCCAAUUGUUUGUAUUAACUCCCAGUCUAAUUCUAAAUAAAGUCUUCAAGCUUCGGUUAUUUACCAUUUAUAAACUGUAUAAAAAAAGUAAUUUCAGAAACUCAAAUUUUUGUUUAUUGGAGUUAGUAAUUGCUAAUGCAAGGAUUUUGAGAAUUAAGAACUCACAAUUUUGAAUUUUUUAAAAAAUUUGAAAACUUAC